rnacentral:rRNA from 1 species
GGGCUGCAGUGGGGAAUCUUCCGCAAUGGACGAAAGUCUGACGGAGCAACGCCGCGUGUAUGAUGAAGGUCUUCGGAUUGUAAAGUACUGUCUUUGGGGAAGAAUGACUGAUUUGAAAAUAUUGAGUCAGUAUGACGGUACCCAAGGAGGAAGCCCCGGCUAACUACGUGCCAGCAGCCGCGGUAAUACGUAGGGGGCAAGCGUUGUCCGGAAUUAUUGGGCGUAAAGGGCGCGUAGGCGGGUAUUUAAGUCCGGUGUGAAAGAUCAGGGCUCAACCCUGAGAGUGCAUCGGAAACUGGGUAUCUUGAGGACAGGAGAGGAAAGUGGAAUUCCUAGUGUAGCGGUGAAAUGCGUAGAUAUUAGGAGGAACACCAGUGGCGAAGGCGACUUUCUGGACUGUAACUGACGCUGAGGCGCGAAAGCGUGGGGAGCAAACAGGAUUAGAUACCCCGGUAGUC